AGAGUUUGAUCCUGGCUCAGCCUGAACGCUGGCGGCGUGGCUAAGACAUGCAAGUCGAACGGUGUAGCAAUACACAGUGGCGGACGGGUGAGUAAUGUAUCGCUAAUGUACCCCGGAGCCAGGGAUAGCUGCCCGGAAGGGCAGGUAAUACCUGAUGAUAUACCUUGGUCGCAUGGCCGAGGUCUCAAAGCAGCAAUGCACUCUGGGCGCAGGCGAUAUCGUAUCAGCUAGUUGGUGAGGUAACGGCUCACCAAGGCGACGACGCGUAGCUGGUCUGAGAGGACGACCAGCCACAUCGGGACUGAGACACUGCCCGGACUCCUACGGGGGGCUGCAGUAACGAAUCUUCCACAAUGCACGAAAGUGUGAUGGAGCGACGCCGCGUGUAGG
rnacentral:rRNA from 1 species